GCUCAGCCCACCCUUAGGCUCCGGCAGGAGCUGUUCCAGACCAGUUUCCAGCCCGCAGCAAACUCUUUGUGAAGGGUAUCCAGGACUGUCCUGUGAAGAGCUGGAGCACUCAGGUCUAAGUUGAUAUUGCUCCUUCUGCUGAAAUGACAGCUCCUGGGUGAGGUGUGACACUGCACAACCAAGAAAUCUGCAUGCAGGAUGUGUUUUCUCCAGCUCCACAGCUUUCCAGGAAGAGGUUUAGCAGAAUCUCUGAAUGUAUUUACGUAUUUGGAAACCUGUUUUACCAAAAAUAUUUGAAUCUGAAAUGUGUGAUUCGUAUCUCAGCAAACUGACAUGGU